AAAAAUGCUGUAGUAUUCAUAUCUACACCACGAGUAUCGGGUGUGACGAUUUGAGAUACCUCGCCACUUCACCUUAAUUCCCGUUAACUUAGAAUUGAUUUUAGAUCUCAGUAAUAGUGGUUAGAAAUGGUGGUGGUAAUGGUACUGUUGCUUGUAGUAGUAUUAUUAGUAACAACAGCUGUAGUCGAGCAAAGGUAUAGGGCUUUCCUAUAAGUAGGUUGUCUCCCUUGGCUAGGCGGCGCUCCAUGUAGAUAAUUAAACUUCCGGAGGCUAACCCACGCCAUUGUUAUUGUUUUACGUCUUAUCAUGGAUAUAAAGCAGCUUGAUGAUUCAGCUAUCGAAGUACUUACUGUGCCUGAGUUAAAGAAAUAUUUAAGAUUAUAUGGACAGUAUGUUACUGGAAGAAAGGCGGACUUGAUUGAAAGGUAUAAAAAUUCUGUCGAUAUGUCAACAAAGUAAAUUCAUCGGACGAUAAGUCUGAAGUAUCGGACGAUACUUCAGACAGGAAUAAGCAGAAGCUUAUAUCUCCUCUCGGUGAAGUAUUGCCUGAUCUAAAGAUCUUUGUAAGAUAAUGACAUAAUUACCUCGUGCUACGGAUGAAAGCAAAGCAACAGUUAAAGAGUGGCAUAUUUUACCACGACAGACACGUACACAGCAUCGAAUACCACGAUGUGAGUGAAAGCUGCUCUCACUGUAUUGUUCGGUGUCUGGUAAUCCCUUCGAUACCGACAUCAAACCAAAAAAGAAUCCUGACCACAGAGUGUGGGUAAUUAUGUCAAAUGUCACUGGCAAUGUGCAUUCAGCUAAUUGCAACUGUUAAAGCAAGUCACUGAGCAUGCGUACAUGUCAUACGGGAGAGUUCCAAUCAGGGGUGGAUAACACCUUAUAGGAAAGCCCUAUAUGAAAGCAGGUUCAGGUUAACUAGGAGGUCGGCUAAUAUGAAAUCGAUUUUAGAUUAGAGGUAGAUAACUUGAAAUCUUUAUAUCGAGUCAAACUGGUUCCGGUUGACAGUACUUGAUCUGGCUCCCUGUACAGAGUUACAGGACUUCCGUAAGAACCAUCGAAAUAUCAGGCGAGGAAUAUUUGUGUAUCACUGACAGUUCCUGGUCUUGGUUUUUCGAAGCAGGCUCACUGGUCAUAGAGCAAUCUUCCACCUCUCUCUUGAUGUCUAUAAACUGUUUUGCGAUGCAGGAGUUGAGUAAUAGACAAUACGGUGUUGCAUUGCCAAAAGAUCUCAUCGCAUGCUCGUUAUCGAACUGAAAGACUACGGGUAGAUGACGACUUUCGGGCAUUGGUUGGCAAUCACGCAUAGAUGGUGUCUCAAACAAAACUAAAAAAAAAAUUACUGGUUAGUGGUGAAUUUUAUGUCAAACGCGUAACGCAGGGAAACGCACAGUUGAUUCAAUUCUUCUUUUCUUUCAAAAGACUUAUUCGUCGUUCGACGAGGAGGAUUCAUUUGUUUGAUCAAAUGAAUUACCAGUUCCUGAAUGAACGUGUAAGUGGUUCGUGAAAGUAGUUGACUAUUCCAACUGCUUAGCUUCGCGAACACGCACAGGCCUGGGACGACGGAAGCUCGACUCCCCGUCGCUGCUGCAUACGUCUUCAUUUUCUCCAUCUCAGCAACGCUCACCAGGAGACGAAAUACCAAUACCACCUACUGCAGUGUGUAACUGAAGGAGCCUACGUUUAGAUACGUGUUGGUAGCGUGAGAUUCCACCUUCUGUAAUGGAAUACAUGUUGAGAAGAAUGGAAUUACCACAGGACAUUUAAUUUGAAAAACUGGAAAAAAUAAGUCAAACGUAAAUUUUGUGAAAAAGGGGGAAAGAAAAAAAAGAUUAUCAAGAAAAAAAAAUGUAUAUACUUAGACUUUUUAUAUAAAAGAGAAAAAAACUGUAUAAAUGUAACCACUCGACUUUCGGGAUCGAGUGGGCAUUGCACCUCAUUUUCAUUCUUUCAUAUUAUCAUUCGUUUCUUUCAUUUUUUCUUCUGAUUUCAUCUUUUUGUAAUUUUUUGUUCCCCGAGUUUAUGCUUGUCGCGUAUGUAUUGUCUUUAUGUGUUGUAAUAGUCGAAGAGAUUUUCUCUGUCGCCUUUUAUAGGUAAUAAAAAAUCGAUUCGCGCCUGUAUGGGCAAUAAUAAAACCAAA